rnacentral:rRNA from 1 species
GACGAACGCUGGCGGCGUGCCUAAUACAUGCAAGUAGAACGCUGAAGAGAGGAGCUUACUCUUCUUGGAUGAGUUGCGAACGGGUGAGUAACGCGUAGGUAACCUGCCUUGUAGCGGGGGAUAACUAUUGGAAACGAUAGCUAAUACCGCAUAACAAUGGAUGACACAUGUCAUUUAUUUGAAAGGGGCAAUUGCUCCACUACAAGAUGGACCUGCGUUGUAUUAGCUAGUAGGUGAGGUAAUGGCUCACCUAGGCGACGAUACAUAGCCGACCUGAGAGGGUGAUCGGCCACACUGGGACUGAGACGCGGCCCAGACUCCUACGGGAGGCAGCAGUAGGGAAUCUUCGGCAAUGGGGGCAACCCUGACCGAGCAACGCCGCGUGAGUGAAGAAGGUUUUCGGAUCGUAAAGCUCUGUUGUAAGUCAAGAACGGGUGUGAGAGUGGAAAGUUCACACUGUGACGGUAGCUUACCAGAAAGAGACGGCUAACUACGUG